AUGGCACCUGCCCUCUCUCAGCUGGAUCACAGUUUCUAUUUUGGAGUGAUUCGUUGGAAUUGGACAACACUCUACACUUGCACUAGGACCACUGACAACUGCCAGCAACUACCAGCACCCUGGACUCCAGUCUGGACACACACCAUAUUCUCUCUCUGCUCUAACCUCAUGUAUCUUGCUGCUGCUGAGUGUGGGCACCAGAAGAUCAUGGAAAAACUCCACCUUGAGACUCCGACCAACACUGCUUGGCACCCAGUGCUUACCUCAUCAAUGAACAUGUACUCCCAUUUUGCCACUAAAGCUCUAUGGAGAAGUUCCACAGCCACCAUAGCCUUCAGAAUGAAAUUAGAAAUGCUAAGGGGCCACUGUCAUCACCAAGCCAAAGAAUAAAGUUGUCCAGUGGAUGAUUUGGUUGUGAAAAACCAGGAGUGUCAAGACAUGAAUCUGAGGCAAGAUGUACUGUUGUUGAACAAUCCAAUCAUCCUUUUCUUUAUCUUCAUCCUUUUUACAUAUAAUGCUGUAUAUUUUUCUUAAAUAUAUAUCUAAGGUUAAAUGUCAUUAUACCCACAUUAUUUGACAUUUUAUUACAAGAAGUGGCCAUAUAUGUCUCUAGAAGCAUUUUUGUUUUAAAAUUUAUUCUCUGUAUUGUGGGAUGUCAAACCAACGUAGCCAUCUUUCUUACAUUUUUGCAUAUAUUUUUCUUGUACUUCAUCAGCUUUUUAUAUAUUUGAGUUAAAUUUUUUCUUUUAUACAAAAUAUGUUGUUUCAUAUUAUUUGUUAUUUUAAACUCAUCUGACUUCUUUUGCCUUUAAAGACUUAAAUAAUUAAAAAUUAUUUGAGAGGUAGAAUUACAUAGAGAGGGAGAGACAGAGAGAAAGGCCUUUCAUCCAUAGGUUCACUCCCCAGAUGGCUGCAACAGCUGGAGCUGAACCAAUCCAAAGCCAGGAUCCAGGGUUUCUUAUGGGUCUUUCAGGUGGGUGCAGGGGCCCAAACACUUGGGCCAUCUUCUACUGCUUUCCCAGGCCAUAGCUAAGAGCUGGAUUGGAAGAGGGACAGCCAGGACUAGAAUCAGUGCUCAUAGGGGAUGCUGGUCCUACAGGCAGAGGCAUACCUGACUACACCACAGAGCCAGCCUUAUCCCUUGCCUUUAAAAGAGAGUGACAGAGCGAGGGAUGUGAAGAAUAAGGUUUCUGACAAAGCACUUUUAGUGAAGUAUUUUCUUCCUAGAACACAGAACGUGACCACAGGAUCUGACUAAGGAUAUUUUAUGGCCUUCUAACAAGAGCACUGAGCCUUUGUUGGAAUGUUGGCUUCACAAGGACAUGCAGCUGCUUUCCCAGAUAGGCUUACCUAAUAUGUCUUGCAAAACAUGUUUCAGAGAAACCUUAGAGU
ensembl:lncRNA